GACGAACCGUGCGAACGUUAUUCGGAAUCACUGGGCUUAAAGCGCGUGUAGGUGGGGCGGCACGUCGGCCGUUGAAAGCCCCCGGCUUAACCGGGGAAACGGCGCCGAUACGACCGCCCUCGAGGGACGUAGGGGGGAGCUGGAACUUCCGGUGGAGCGGUGAAAUGCGUUGAGAUCGGAAGGAACGCCCGUGGCGAAAGCGAGCUCCUGGACGUUUUCUGACACUGAGACGCGAAAGCCAGGGGAGCGAACGGG
rnacentral:rRNA from 1 species